rnacentral:rRNA from 1 species
UACGUAGGGUGCAAGCGUUAAUCGGAAUUACUGGGCGUAAAGCGUGCGCAGGCGGUUAUGCAAGACAGAUGUGAAAUCCCCGGGCUUAACCUGGGAACCGCAUUUGUGACUGCAUAGCUGGAGUACGGCAGAGGGGGAUGGAAUUCCGCGUGUAGCAGUGAAAUGCGUAGAUAUGCGGAGGAACACCGAUGGCGAAGGCAGUCCCCUGGGCCUGUACUGACGCUCAUGCGCGAAAGCGUGGGGAGCAAACAGG